UCCCAGAUAUCUAUCAGACCAGUUUGAAAAUCCCAUCUGGGCUCAGGCCGCAUAGGCUAGGUAAUGCGGUCCUAUGUUGAGGGCCUGCACAGGGGCCUGUCACGAUCUGGUCAUUUGACCGUGGGCCGAAUGUUUGGAUCAGCAACAAUAUCGGCCACCACAAGGCCGCUCCUUUGAUGGCCUCACCAAAGAAGCAGAUCUCAAGGUGUUUGCACACCUUAAGAGUCCGAGGGCUUUUUAUGCCCUUCCCAUGUUGUUACUGCACAGAGCCUUGAUUCCAAUGCCAUAUAUGUAGAUUGAGCAGGCUUUAAUGAUGUAUGCAUCCCAACACAGUGCAACAUUACACUCCCUUUCCCCAGUAAAUACAGGGAAACAGAAAUUCUAUGCCUUAGCUAUAGAGAAUAACACCCUUACCUAGAAUUUAUAAUAACGAGGACAAGCGACUAAACAGACAACAACUUCUUGCAGGUCAAAGAAUAAGUAGUGAAAGCAGUGAAAGCGAUGGACUGUGCUGGAAUAUUGACUGUGCUGACAAUUGUCAGACUACAACAACUAAAGGGCCUUGUGAAUCGACAUCAUCGAAAACAACAAAAACUACAACACGUAAGUCGUUGGCACCAAACACACUUUUGCUUCGUUUUUACAACAUUCUUCCGAAAUGAUACAGCCAGAAUUGAUUAUUGUUUCUUGAGCUGAUGUACACCAAUAUGUUAGUGGCAAAUACAGAAAUAUGUAAAAAACAAAAAAGAUAUGCGGUUUUCCUUUCAACCUGUUUGUAUUGUGUUAAAGGAGAAAUUCACAUUUCAAUGAAGUUAUCAUAGGUUGUGAACGGCAUAUCGAGAUUUCCAAACAGCAGACUUGUUUUAGUUUAAUUACGUCCUAGCAACCAGAUAACAGUCAAAAUUCAAGCCAUUAGAAAGGUAGAAUUUUCAAUUUCAAAAAAAAGGAUGAAUUGCAAAUUGUCCGACAAUAAGGUCUCUUCAAUGCACUGAAAGUAAAUUUAAAGGUGCCUUUUAAUGCCACAGUUUCAAUGGAAAUUGUUUGGGAUCUUUCCUAUUCGCUCUACAUUCUGAAAAGGCCCAUAUGGGGAUAUAAGGCAUUUUUUUGCUGCACAACCUUUCAGUACAAAAUUUGCAUAGCGUAGCAGAAUAGCAUUGGUGGGACAUUGAUAUUGUAACAUGGUUUUGCUUGGCACCAAACAUUAUUUCAACUCUUGCUAGAAAUGUCUAAUGUAUUUCUCAUUUAUUCUCACAGCAAGAACCACAACCACGCACACCACCACAACACACUCCACAAAAUGUUUCUGUCGUCAUGGUAGAAACCAUUACAGACCAGGUCAAAGAAUAAGUAGUGAAAGCAGUGAAAGCGAUGGACUGUGCUGGAAUAUUGACUGUGCUGACAAUUGUCAGACUACAACAACUAAAGGGCCUUGUGAAUCGACAUCAUCGAAAACAACAAAAACUACAACACGUAAGUCGUUGGCACCAAACACACUUUUGCUUCGUUUUUACAACAUUCUUCCGAAAUGAUACAGCCAGAAUUGAUUAUUGUUUCUUGAGCUGAUGUACACCAAUAUGUUAGUGGCAAAUACAGAAAUAUGUAAAAAACAAAAAAGAUAUGCGGUUUUCCUUUCAACCUGUUUGUAUUGUGUUAAAGGAGAAAUUCACAUUUCAAUGAAGUUAUCAUAGGUUGUGAACGGCAUAUCGAGAUUUCCAAACAGCAGACUUGUUUUAGUUUAAUUACGUCCUAGCAACCAGAUAACAGUCAAAAUUCAAGCCAUUAGAAAGGUAGAAUUUUCAAUUUCAAAAAAAAGGAUGAAUUGCAAAUUGUCCGACAAUAAGGUCUCUUCAAUGCACUGAAAGUAAAUUUAAAGGUGCCUUUUAAUGCCACAGUUUCAAUGGAAAUUGUUUGGGAUCUUUCCUAUUCGCUCUACAUUCUGAAAAGGCCCAUAUGGGGAUAUAAGGCAUUUUUUUGCUGCACAACCUUUCAGUACAAAAUUUGCAUAGCGUAGCAGAAUAGCAUUGGUGGGACAUUGAUAUUGUAACAUGGUUUUGCUUGGCACCAAACAUUAUUUCAACUCUUGCUAGAAAUGUCUAAUGUAUUUCUCAUUUAUUCUCACAGCAAGAACCACAACCACGCACACCACCACAACACACUCCACAAAAUGUUUCUGUCGUCAUGGUAGAAACCAUUACAGACCAGGUCAAAGAAUAAGUAGUGAAAGCAGUGAAAGCGAUGGACUGUGCUGGAAUAUUGACUGUGCUGACAAUUGUCAGACUACAACAACUAAAGGGCCUUGUGAAUCGACAUCAUCGAAAA